rnacentral:lncRNA from 1 species
ACUUCUCCUUAAUGCUAAAUGGCAGAGUGACGAAUGUGUCUAGUUCAACUAGAUCAGAUGGGUGAAAUUGGGGGCAUAUCAUCUGCUGAUGGCGCCCCCAUAAAUCGCCAAAAAAAAAAUAUAUUGUUUAGAUGGCAAAGAGGAAGAUCGAUAAAUGACUAAGUGUCAGUGGAGAUUAACUGUAACUGCACAUACAUCAUAUGAUGGUUCCUGAUGUUCAUGAUAACUCCUGUAAGAAAAGUCAACACAUUUUCAAAUGAUACAACAACAUUAACUUCAACAGGAACCUUCUUGUGACUCCAUCCAAAACAUUUGCAUUUCAAUCAAACAUUACACUUUCCAACCUCGCACAUGCAACUGAGACUAAGGUAAGCAUGACUUUCAAACAUUCUUCCAGUGUAUAUUGACUAAUUUGGAACUAAAAAUAAAUUUCUAUAGGUAAAUUACUUUGAAAAAAGCAAUGGACUUUCACCAAAAUCUUGUCAUGAAGGAGGUAAGAACUUGUUUACAAAUGAAGAUUUCACUACAAGAGAAGAACUGAUGAGCACAAUUUCUAUUGUUUAAAAGCUAUAAACUGUCAUUGAAAAUAAAUGUUAGUGCUUUUUAUUUUUUCUAGAUCUUGCAGUGAUCAAAAUAGCCAUAAUUUCUGUAUGAUUGCCUUACAAUUUUAAGAUUAUAAAACAAAAUUGUGACUGAGGACUAAGUGAUUGGAUAUGCUGACUGACAAAGAUCAGGAAGAUGUGUUCAGAUCAAGGAUUUAGAAUUUUCACAACAGGGAUAUCCAUUGUACUUGGUGACAUUUGGAAAACAAAAAUAUGGAUUAACCUUGGGAACCAGGACCAUACAGAAAGACCUGCAACAAGUUGUACUCUAGCAGGGGCUUUAGUAGAGAUCAUUUCAAGAGGCGUGGUCAAGUGGUUAACACUCUUGGACUGUGAAAUCGAGUAAUCAUGGUUCGUGACCCGAUGCCACAAAAUCAUGCUCCACAUUUGGAGGCUGUGGGUGUCUCAUAAGAGUGACGGUCAAAUGCCUCUUCAUACACAAAAGUUGGCGGUGGAUGCUGUUGACGAGUUCCUUACCUCCAGCCUAUCAUUUCGAAAUUAGGUAUGCCUAUGCACAGACAGCCCUUUGUGUAGUUUUGCGUGAAAAUUCUAAAAACAAACAUAAACAAAUUUUCCUGCUUCUUAUGAGAAACAGACUUAAAAAAGAGGAAAAAAGUCAGACUUGGCAUAUAGCACAAGCUAAUACGUAAUUCUUCAGUUCGGUGCUAACCUAAGAUAAGAUGGAUUCAUGUUUGAGUAUCUGUUUAUCUGUACUUUCAUGGAUUAUUAUCAUACUUGAAUCAUUGGAGUAAACCUUAAGUACGAAAGCUGUGGUUUCGUUUACUAGUUUCUGUGUUUUGUUA